rnacentral:rRNA from 1 species
AUUGAACGCUGGCGGCAGGCCUAACACAUGCAAGUCGAACGGUAGCACAGAGAGCUUGCUCUCGGGUGACGAGUGGCGGACGGGUGAGUAAUGUCUGGGAAACUGCCCGAUGGAGGGGGAUAACUACUGGAAACGGUAGCUAAUACCGCAUAACGUCGCAAGACCAAAGUGGGGGACCUUCGGGCCUCACGCCAUCGGAUGUGCCCAGAUGGGAUUAGCUAGUAGGUGGGGUAAUGGCUCACCUAGGCGACGAUCCCUAGCUGGUCUGAGAGGAUGACCAGCCACACUGGAACUGAGACACGGUCCAGACUCCUACGGGAGGCAGCAGUGGGGUAUAUUGCACAAUGGGCGCAAGCCUGAUGCAGCCAUGCCGCGUGUAUGAAGAAGGCCUUCGGGUUGUAAAGUACUUUCAGCGGGGAGGAAGGCGGUGGAGUUAAUAACUUCACCGAUUGACGUUACCCGCAGAAGAAGCACCGGCUAACUCCGUGCCAGCAGCCGCCGUAA